GAUGAACGCUAGCGGCAGGCUUAACACAUGCAAGUCGAGGGGUAUUGGUUUUCGGACCAAGAGACCGGCGCACGGGUGCGUAACGCGUAUGCAAUCUACCUUUUACAGAGGGAUAGCCCAGAGACAUUUGGAUUAAUACCUCAUAGUAUGCAGAGUUGGCAUCAACAUUGCAUUAAAGUCACAACGGUAAAAGAUGAGCAUGCGUCCCAUUAGCUAGUUGGUAAGGUAACGGCUUACCAAGGCAACGAUGGGUAGGGGUCCUGAGAGGGAGAUCCCCCACACUGGUACUGAGACACGGACCAGACUCCUACGGGAGGCAGCAGUGAGGAAUAUUGGACAAUGGGCGCAAGCCUGAUCCAGCCAUGCCGCGUGCAGGAUGACGGUCCUAUGGAUUGUAAACUGCUUUUGUACGAGAAGAAACACUCCUACGUGUAGGAGCUUGAUGGUAUCGUAAGAAUAANGAUCGGCUGACUCCGUGCCAGCCGCCGCCGUAAAAG
rnacentral:rRNA from 1 species